GAUGAACGCUGGCGGCGUGCCUAAUACAUGCAAGUCGAGCGAACAGACGAGGAGCUUGCUCCUCUGACGUUAGCGGCGGACGGGUGAGUAACACGUGGAUAACCUAUCUAUAAGACUUGGAUAACUUCGGGAAACCGGAUCUAAUACCGGAUAAUAUUGAACCGCAUGGUUCAAUAGUGAAAGACGGUUUUGCUGUCAUUUAUAGAUGUAUCCGCGCUGCAUUAGUUAGUUGGUAAGGUAACGGCUUUCCAAGGCAACGAUCCGUUACCGAACUGAUAGGGUGGUAGUCCACACUGGAACUGAGACACGGUCCAGACUCCUACGGGAGGCAGCAGUAGGGAAUCUUCCGCAAUGGGCGAAAGACUGACGGAGCAACGCCGCGUGAGUGAUGAAGGUCUUCGGAUCGUAAAACUCUGUUAUUAGGGAAGAACAAAUGUGUAAGUAACUAUGCACGUCUUGACGGUACCUAAUCAGAAAGCCACGGCUAACUACGUG
rnacentral:rRNA from 1 species